rnacentral:rRNA from 1 species
GGGUUGUGAGGUUAAGCGACUAAGCGUACACGGUGGAUGCCCUGGCAGUCAGAGGCGAUGAAGGACGUGCUAAUCUGCGAUAAGCGUCGGUAAGGUGAUAUGAACCGUUAUAACCGGCGAUUUCCGAAUGGGGAAACCCAGUGUGAUUCGUCACACUAUCAUUAACUGAAUCCAUAGGUUAAUGAGGCGAACCGGGGGAACUGAAACAUCUAAGUACCCCGAGGAAAAGAAAUCAACCGAGAUUCCCCCAGUAGCGGCGAGCGAACGGGGAGCAGCCCAGAGCCUGAAUCAGUGUGUGUGUUAGUGGAAGCGUCUGGAAAGGCGUGCGAUACAGGGUGACAGCCCCGUACACAAAAAUGCACAUACUGUGAGCUCGAUGAGUAGGGCGGGACACGUGGUAUCCUGUCUGAAUAUGGGGGGACCAUCCUCCAAGGCUAAAUACUCCUGACUGACCGAUAGUGAACCAGUACCGUGAGGGAAAGGCGAAAAGAACCCCGGCGAGGGGAGUGAAAAAGAACCUGAAACCGUGUACGUACAAGCAGUGGGAGCACGCUUAGGCGUGUGACUGCGUACCUUUUGUAUAAUGGGUCAGCGACUUAUAUUCUGUAGCAAGGUUAACCGAAUAGGGGAGCCGAAGGGAAACCGAGUCUUAACUGGGCGUUAAGUUGCAGGGUAUAGACCCGAAACCCGGUGAUCUAGCCAUGGGCAGGUUGAAGGUUGGGUAACACUAACUGGAGGACCGAACCGACUAAUGUUGAAAAAUUAGCGGAUGACUUGUGGCUGGGGGUGAAAGGCCAAUCAAACCGGGAGAUAGCUGGUUCUCCCCGAAAGCUAUUUAGGUAGCGCCUCGUGAAUUCAUCUCCGGGGGUAGAGCACUGUUUCGGCAAGGGGGUCAUCCCGACUUACCAACCCGAUGCAAACUGCGAAUACCGGAGAAUGUUAUCACGGGAGACACACGGCGGGUGCUAACGUCCGUCGUGAAGAGGGAAACAACCCAGACCGCCAGCUAAGGUCCCAAAGUCAUGGUUAAGUGGGAAACGAUGUGGGAAGGCCCAGACAGCCAGGAUGUUGGCUUAGAAGCAGCCAUCAUUUAAAGAAAGCGUAAUAGCUCACUGGUCGAGUCGGCCUGCGCGGAAGAUGUAACGGGGCUAAACCAUGCACCGAAGCUGCGGCAGCGACGCUUAUGCGUUGUUGGGUAGGGGAGCGUUCUGUAAGCCUGUGAAGGUGUGCUGUGAGGUAUGCUGGAGGUAUCAGAAGUGCGAAUGCUGACAUAAGUAACGAUAAAGCGGGUGAAAAGCCCGCUCGCCGGAAGACCAAGGGUUCCUGUCCAACGUUAAUCGGGGCAGGGUGAGUCGACCCCUAAGGCGAGGCCGAAAGGCGUAGUCGAUGGGAAACAGGUUAAUAUUCCUGUACUUGGUGUUACUGCGAAGGGGGGACGGAGAAGGCUAUGUUGGCCGGGCGACGGUUGUCCCGGUUUAAGCGUGUAGGCUGGUUUUCCAGGCAAAUCCGGAAAAUCAAGGCCGAGGCGUGAUGACGAGGCACUACGGUGCUGAAGCAACAAAUGCCCUGCUUCCAGGAAAAGCCUCUAAGCAUCAGGUAACAUCAAAUCGUACCCCAAACCGACACAGGUGGUCAGGUAGAGAAUACCAAGGCGCUUGAGAGAACUCGGGUGAAGGAACUAGGCAAAAUGGUGCCGUAACUUCGGGAGAAGGCACGCUGAUACGUAGGUGAAGCGACUUGCUCGUGGAGCUGAAAUCAGUCGAAGAUACCAGCUGGCUGCAACUGUUUAUUAAAAACACAGCACUGUGCAAACACGAAAGUGGACGUAUACGGUGUGACGCCUGCCCGGUGCCGGAAGGUUAAUUGAUGGGGUUAGCGCAAGCGAAGCUCUUGAUCGAAGCCCCGGUAAACGGCGGCCGUAACUAUAACGGUCCUAAGGUAGCGAAAUUCCUUGUCGGGUAAGUUCCGACCUGCACGAAUGGCGUAAUGAUGGCCAGGCUGUCUCCACCCGAGACUCAGUGAAAUUGAACUCGCUGUGAAGAUGCAGUGUACCCGCGGCAAGACGGAAAGACCCCGUGAACCUUUACUAUAGCUUGACACUGAACAUUGAGCCUUGAUGUGUAGGAUAGGUGGGAGGCUUUGAAGUGUGGACGCCAGUCUGCAUGGAGCCGACCUUGAAAUACCACCCUUUAAUGUUUGAUGUUCUAACGUGGACCCGUGAUCCGGGUUGCGGACAGUGUCUGGUGGGUAGUUUGACUGGGGCGGUCUCCUCCUAAAGAGUAACGGAGGAGCACGAAGGUUGGCUAAUCCUGGUCGGACAUCAGGAGGUUAGUGCAAUGGCAUAAGCCAGCUUGACUGCGAGCGUGACGGCGCGAGCAGGUGCGAAAGCAGGUCAUAGUGAUCCGGUGGUUCUGAAUGGAAGGGCCAUCGCUCAACGGAUAAAAGGUACUCCGGGGAUAACAGGCUGAUACCGCCCAAGAGUUCAUAUCGACGGCGGUGUUUGGCACCUCGAUGUCGGCUCAUCACAUCCUGGGGCUGAAGUAGGUCCCAAGGGUAUGGCUGUUCGCCAUUUAAAGUGGUACGCGAGCUGGGUUUAGAACGUCGUGAGACAGUUCGGUCCCUAUC